CCUGAGUGGUUUUUUUUUAGCACUGCAAGCCCGCAGAAACGUUGAUGGUAGGCAAGAUAGAAAGGGGUUAAUUGCUCCCCCUUGCACCCCGACCUGGCACUGACCCCAGCAUUGCAGCCAGGCAAUCUCAGGUGCUCCUAACUCAGGAUACAUUGAGGGGACCCUUUGGCAAAGGCUGCUUCUGUUCUGAAAAUUCCUUAAAUUGCUGUCGUGAUUGGGGAAAGAUUUAUGGAUUUCUUGGUGCAAUAAGUGAGUAAAUGAUAGCGACAACAAAGGACCCCACAGUAAGUUGGGGGAAGUCCUUUUUCUUGUUCCCUUUCCUUUAAAAAAAAAUCUUGAAACUUAUUCUAGGCCCCUUCUUUUUCUCAUUUGAAUUCAGUGUUGCUAAAUGGACAUGGGACCAGAGAGGGCCUGUUGCCAAUGCUUUUUCUAAGACUGGAGCCUGCAAAGACCUGGCUGAGAGGGGCUCUGAGGAGGUUGGAUCCCUGAGGCCCCAAGCCUGGGGCCUGGGAAGAGCCUCGAGCUCCAGAGCCUGCCUGUAGCUGGGUCAUUUCGUGGUUCACAAACGACAAGGCAAGUUGAAGCCACAGUCACUGUGGUUCUAGGCAACCAUGAUUAGUCACACAGUCAGUGACCCAGUUACGGCACACCCUCUUUUAAAAGGACAUUCGUCCACAUCUUGCUACCUUAAACGCAGAAAUGGUUCAUGGAUACAAGGAGGAUGAGGACUGCAAGGGACAGGGAACUGAAACUCAGGUUUUAGGAUCAUAUAGGCCAGGGGCUAGGCUUUCUGAAAAGGAGAAGCUCUGGGGUGUGACUUUUAGGACAAGUUGAAUUGCACUGAGCUUUGACGACAGAGUGUUUUCCAACUCAGCAAGCAGGAAGACAGAGCCUGUGCAGCCAGAGCAGGACUGCACGCUUCCUCUCCCAUGAGGCUUUGGGUGGCGUGGAGCCUCUGAGAGAGCCCGGUUCCUGCUCUGGCUUUCCAGCCGGCGUUUUGCGCCACAGCUUCCGAAGAAAGCUAAAGCCCGGCUGUUGUCCAACGCCCGUGGGGCCCCGAGCAGACGCUCCUCGGCUCCCCGCGACCCUCAGACACGUGGACUGACGGACACACGUGCGCCUGUCUCCACGCCCGCCUUCCCGCUCGCGUUAAGCGCAGCGGACUUGGACUUGCGUGGAGAGUCAGGACCGCGAGGGGGUCAGUUCCCAGAUCGCUGUCACAAGGGAGGUGUGAACCCGGAGGACCACCCCCACCCCAGCACACCCCGCGAGCGGACACUUAACUCUGGUUUGCUUCCAGGCAUCUUACUCUCCACUCCUCCCCCAACCCCCCAUUUCCAGUUUCAGGCGGGGGAUGGGUAGUGAUGGUAAGAGGGGGUACAGGUGCGUCUGAGUCCUGGCUGGGGAGGGGUCCCCCCGGGGUCCCCUGGUGAAGCUGCCCGUAAACAGUGCGCCACGCUUAAUGGAUUCUUGCAGAUAAAAGAGCCU
rnacentral:lncRNA from 1 species